UACAUAUAUGUACAUAUAUAUAUACAUAUAUACAUGAAAAAUACUUGUACAUGCAUAUAUAUAUAUAUGUAAAUGUUCAUACAGAAUUGAGAAAGUGUUAAUUUGUUUGAAAGGCGCUCCCCUCCCAUGGUAUAUAUGCUACGCGUUCGUACAACGAUCACAUGAUUGAGAAAUUUCAACUAAUUUCUUGUGCAUUUCUUUUCUGCAUAUUUUUCAUUAAUCAGCUACGGAAACAAAUAAUAAUAAUAAUAAUAAUUGUCCGGCAUUCAUAUCGCCAGUUGACGACGAUACAAGGAACAACAACAAUAUAUAACAUAUAUCAUCAUAUCUUCUUUGUGUUACUCUUCACCAACAAAUGUGUAAAGUUUUAAUAGUGUUUUUUUUUUUAAACCACAACCAUUCCAAACGAAAAGAGAAGAAAGAGAAAAUACUAUUUUCGAAUUUAUCAUUGAAAUUAUCUACAAGCUUAAUUAGUUGACUCUUGACUGAUUUUGAUUUAAAUUGUUCUUUGCUGCUCCUUCUUUUUUCUCCCAAUUCAUUUUAAUUUAAAAUUUAGUUAACCGCGCGACUAAAUUAUUCAUAUUACUUACUACGUGUGCAUAUAAUUAAUAAUAAAUACAAUUCAUAAUUCAUUUUUGCAAAAAAACAAAAACAAAAAUAAAACAAAAUGAUGAAUCAAUGUCCCAUUAUUUCUCUAUAUUGAUUGAAACGAAGACGUACAUGCAUACUUAUAUAUAUAUAAAUAAAAGUUUAUACUCCCUACUCAAAGCAGAUGUAACCGCCCCCACCUUUAAAUAAAACACAAAAAAAAAAAAAAAAACAAAAAAUUGCUCUUCCUUAAAAAGAAAUAAACUUCAUCAACCAACUUUCUUAUUACUGCAAUGGAUUGAUGUCUAACCAACACCCAUCAUCAAGAUGUCUCCCUUUAAUUAUUACUUUUUUGUCCAUAAGUUUAUUUUGUAUUUUUCUCUUUAUUUUUUGCUUAACAUAUUUUUUCCCCAUUUACGUUUAUUGCGCAAUAUUUAGAAUACUACUUACAGUAAUAUUGUAGUUAUACAUUA